UGAGGGAUCUUCGGCAAUGGGGGCAACCCUGACCGAGCAACGCCGCGUGCGGGAGGACGCCUUUCGGGGUGUAAACCGCUUUUCUGGGGGACGAGGGAGUACGGACGGUACCCCAGGAAGAAGUCUCGGCUAACUACGUGCCAGCAGCCGCGGUAAUACGUAGGAGACGAGCGUUGUCCGGAGUUACUGGGCGUAAAGGGUGCGCAGGUGGCGGCGCGCGUGGGGGGUGAAAUCGCCUGGCUUAACUGGGCGGGGGCCUUCCAGACGGCGUGGCUUGAGCAGCGGAGGGGGACGUGGAAUUCCGGGUGGAGCGGUGAAAUGCGUAGAGAUCCGGAGGAACACCGACGGCGCAGGCAGCGUCCUGGCCGCUUGCUGACACUGAGGCACGAAAGCUGGGGGAGCAAACA
rnacentral:rRNA from 1 species